rnacentral:rRNA from 1 species
GUGGGGAAUAUUGGGCAAUGGGGGAAACCCUGACCCAGCAACGCCGCGUGAGGGAAGAAGGUUUUCGGAUUGUAAACCUCUGUCCUUGGUGACGAAGGAAGUGACGGUAACCAAGGAGGAAGCCCCGGCUAACUACGUGCCAGCAGCCGCGGUAAUACGUAGGGGGCAAGCGUUGUCCGGAAUGACUGGGCGUAAAGGGCGUGUAGGCGGCCGAUUAAGUCUGGAGUGAAAGUCCUGCUUUGAAGGGGGGAAUUGCUUUGGAGACUGAUGGGCUUGAGUGCGAAAGAGGUAAGUGGAAGUCCCAGUGUAGCGGUGAAAUGCGUAGAGAUUGGGAGGAACACCAGUGGCGAAGGCGACUUACUGGGCCGUAACUGGCGCUGAGGCGCGAAAGCGUGGGGAGCGAACAGGAUUAGAUACCCCUGUAGUCC